UUUUUUUUUUUUUUGGAAUUGAGCAUCUUUCUUGAUGGUGUUAUUUUUUACUGUGGGGGAAAAUGAUGUGUUCAAUCAUCACUGACACACCUGAAAAGAGAUGUCCACUUAACAGUGGGAGGUUAAAAUUUUGGCUAAGCCAUGCAAUCAUUACAAUAUGGAUAGUUAACAAAGCCACGAUAGUGGAAGUGAGAGCCAGUGGGUCAACUAUGGAAUGAAAAGGAAAGCAGCUUCAAGGAAAAACCCUCAGAGCAUCAGUAAGAGACUGAAGGGGAAAAGGGGUCAAAAUCCUGUAGAAGAGAAUUGGGAGAUGGUUAGAGACUUGGAGGGGGGAAACCUAAAGGUUUGGUUUAUGAAUGAGAGAAAAGUCAAUAGUGUUAAAAACUGCAGGAGUAUAAGAAAGAUAAGGGCUGAAAAGAGUCCACUGAGUUUUAGCAAAAAGAAGUUAUUUCUGACCAAGGAAUGAGAUGUUUCGACAGUGUGGGGGAAAGGAACUGGAUUAUAACGGGGUGAGGAAUAUUUGGCUACAACAGGCAUAGAUAAAUUUUUCAAGAACUUCGUUGGUGAGGGGUAGUGGAAAAACAUAAUGAUAAAGAGGGGUAUGAGAGUCUAGGGUGGUAUUUGAACUACUUUAAAAAAUGUUUAGAGAAGUUGGUGAAGAUAAAAGAAUGAGGCGGUAACCAAGAGAACAAGGUCCUUGAAAGGGGUCAGAUGAAGAAGAGUUUAAACAUGUAGAUGGAAUGAUUAGCUUUGGAGGGAAAAUGGACCCAUUUCUUGCUGAAUCAGGAGAGAAAGAGGUGGAGGGAAGUGCUUCUGCUGUUGUGCUAGUUUGUUGACAUUUUUUAAAAGGCUUCCAUUUUCUCCUGGGAUGUGGGGCUAGACAGUUCUUUGAUGAUGGGCCAUCAUGUGCACAGGGGGUUUCCUGUGGAAGGCACAGUUCCACCUCUAUUACUUCUCAGUGUGUGGUUUCAUGUGACCAACCAAAAUCAAUUCUGCAAAAACUAACCCAGGAAACAGACGUCACAGCCAGCAAUAAGUGCCAUGCCUACCACUGAGGAGUCUUUCUGAGUGGUUUGAUAAUUAGAAAUUAGAAAUUGUUAUUAAUGUAAGCCUGAUACCUACACCGAUUCUCCUUCUCUGCAUGAUUUUGUUCUUAAGACUGUGCUGAAGGGGGCCCUUCUAUAUAGUAGCUAUGUGACUGUAUGCUUGUUAAACUUUCUGGUGCAAUUUCUAUAAAUAAAAUGGAAGAUAUAAUAGGAAUACAUCCUAACACAGAUAUUGUGAUGAUCAAAUUGGAGGAUACAUGGAAAGUUCUACUAAGGACAAUUUUUAUUCUAAGCAAGUGAAACCCUGAUACCAACUACCUCAAAUAAAAAGGAAGAAUGCUAUUAGGAGAUUGAACAGUCUCAUGGAAUUAAAGGACAGGGAAUUCACCAGGUUUGGGGAACCCCUGGCACCAGGGGCUUCUACACCACCAGGAUGUUUGUCUUGUCUUUUGACUCUGAUCCUCUUUCUACAGCUGCUUCAUUUUCUUUCUCUUUUUAUACUGAAUGUCUCCUGCUGAAGUAGGAGGUGGAUAGGUCUGGGCCAAGAAGAGCUGGGACUUGUUAGGCUAAGGAAAUUGGGCCUUGUUUCUCUUUGACACCUCAAGGAAAAAGUUAAUUGCAGGAGCUGAGUCUGCUGGAGUAGAAAGGUAAGAUGACCACUUCAAUCACUCCUGGGGUCAAGGAGAUCUCCCCAAUUACACAUGCCUAGGAAGACUCCAAGGGAUCAAAAAGGGAGGGGCACCAGCCCAUAAUAAGUCCUGAGGCAUUACCGUCAUGGCGAAGUGGAAAUGAAUCUGACUAGGAACCAUGACGUCACGAGUUCGAUCCCUGGCCUUGCUCAUGGGUUAAGGAUCGGGCAUUGCCAUGAACUGUGGUGUAGGUCACAGACAUGGCUCAUAUCUAGCAUUGCUGUGGCUGUGGCAUAGGCUGGCAGCUGUAGCUCCAAUUUGACUCCUAGCCUGGGAACCUCCAUAUGCCACAAGUGCGGCCCUAAAAAGCUUAAAAAAAAAAAAAGUCCUGAUCCCAUCCUGGUAUACUUUGCUCUGGAAUCCAUCUUUGCCAAAACAUUUCCACACAUAUUGGGGAGGAUCUGGUGUCCAGUCAGGUGUGAGAAAUAAAACAAGAUUAUUAGCUAAAGUUAAACAAAGGCCUGAAGAACUGUCCUACAUAGUGAGUUAAAUCACCUCUCUCUGCCACCCCUACUCACUCAGGGGGACACCCUCAACCGCACUCCUCUUUAGGGUGUGUAUUAUUUCUUUGCUUCUGAUUUAAAUAAACUACUUCUCUGCUGUGCUCUCCUUCAUACUGUACUGUGACUCUAACAAUAAAUUUGAUACUUGUUUUCACAGUCUUUGACUCCUGGAAACAUUCUUGCUUUCAAUAGGGAGCAAGAAUCAGGGCAAUUCUACUUUUAGCUUCUAGCUAGUCUGGUGGCUAGGAUUCCUGCCCAAACAGGCUGCCCAGGUUCAAUUCCUGAGCAGAAAAUUAAGAUCUCACUCCACGUCAUCACUCACUGCUGCCUCUCCAAGAUCCCUUCCAUUUCUCUGAUCCCUAGGAAGGAAAUAGGCCCUAUAAUUGUUCUAGAUCUUUAUUAUUUCUUCCUCAGACAUUGGAAUCACCUGAAAACUUUUUUUUUCAGUCCCCAAAUACAAAGAAAAUAGAAUAGUAUGGUUUAGUUUUUGUGUCCACUCUGAAUCAAUCAACUGUGAAAAGGUACUCAGAACAAUUUGCCACAAAAUUGUGUUUCCCCUAUGGUAAUCAUGAUGCUGAUGGUGGGGGUGAGGGUGGGAUGGGGCUACACCCCCUAAAGGUGUAGGUUUAAGCCCAUAAGACAAAAUAUCAAUACAUAAACAAUAAUAGACCAUAUCAAUGGAUGAAAUUGAUAGAGCUAUAAUUAAAUAAUUGGCAAUUAUAAUA
rnacentral:lncRNA from 1 species